rnacentral:sRNA from 2 species
CCAAGUACAGUGGUGUUUAAAAUUAAUUGAUCAUAAUCAGUUAUGGAUUUCUUUAUUUCUUCCUAAUUAUCACUGCUUCAUUUG